GCCCACAGUUUAACAAAGACACUAACAUGGAUCUGUUCAAUCAUUUAUAGGACAGAAGGAUUUAAUUUGUUAAAGUAUCACUAACUGAUGUACAGUACAGUAGCGGAUGAUGAUGAAGCCGCAAAAUAUUAAAAAUUGUAUUGUAGAUUAAAUGAAUCCUCCAGUGGUAUAGAUGUGAUGAUGUUGGUGCAGAGAAACAUGGAAUAAUCCAAUUCCGAAGAGGAAAACAUGAAGCUUGGUCAGUAAAAAAUAAUGAAUAUCAUAAAAAUAAAUCUCACUGCCUUGCUCUUUGUUUACAGAUCACCGGUGUAGCAUCAGAAGGUCCAGGAAAGCGGAGGAUGACAGCAGUGAAAUCUGAUACAGUGCCUGACAAACCGGUUUCAUCCAGAGGGCGGAGGUGACAGACAGGGGUGGAGAGGAGUGGGUGUGAGAUGGUGGGUUUGGUGUGAGUAUUUGCACCAAGUCAAGUGACUGUACUUGUAGAGGCAUGUGAAGCCACCUCAUAGAUUCAUGUAACAACUACUACAAUCAUGAAAUCAUCACUUCAUUUUCACCUGUACACCACUGAAAAUCUGAGUUUAGUGUUGUAUAUAUUUACAAUACUGCAAAUUUGUGUACUCAUUAUUGUUAUAUUCCUAUAAAAAACAAUUUAGUCUGUCUCUCCUAUAUGGGCCCCAUCGUUAAAUUACAUUUUUGAUGCAUAUAGUUCUUCCACAAAGGUGCAUUUCUCUGCAAAUAUGAAACCCUCCUUUUUAUUUUCAUUGACAAGGUUAAACUGUAUUUCCAAGAGACCCAUGAAGAUAAUGCAGGUUAAUCUUCUUCAAAACCCUAAACAUUUGCCAUAGUUAGUGACUGUCAUCCCAUGGUCUUACUGACUGUCUCAGUUGUUAUCUCCAGAUAUCAUUUUUUGAGACGUCCAUCUUUACAGACUUUGACAACUACACUGUAAUGACUUCAGUUUUCUUAACAGCUAUUCCUUAAGAGGUUGACAAAUAACCAGGCAUGUGUGGUCGAUAGUAGAACUGUGGGGGGCGCUACCCUUGCCUUCUUAUUCACUACUGUUCAUUACAUGAUUUCCGUUCGAUAUGAUAUAUUUUCAAUGUAUUUUGCAUUUCUUCAUCAAAACAUAACAAUGCGUGCAAACAUAUGUCUCUGCUUAAAAAUAUAAUAAAUGGAACUUCAAAGUUUUGGCAAUG